rnacentral:tRNA from 1 species
GGAGGGAUGCCCGAGAGGCCAAAGGGAGCAGACUGUAAAUCUGCCGGCGUAUGCCUUCGAAGGUUCGAAUCCUUCUCCCUCCACCU